ACACGACUACAUUAGAUACCCGCGUAGUCCUAGCUGUAAACGAUGCAGACUAGGUGUCUGGACGGCCACGUGCCGUUCUAGUGCCGCAGGGAAGCUGUUAAGUCUGCCGCCUGGGAGUACGAUCGCAAGAUUGAAACUUAAGGAAUUGGCGGGGAGCACCACAAGGGGUGAAGCUUGCGGUUUAAUUGGAGUCAACGCCGGAAAUCUCACCGGGAGCGACAGCAGUGUGAUAGCCAGAUUAAAGGUCUUGCUAGACGAGCUG
rnacentral:rRNA from 1 species